rnacentral:lncRNA from 1 species
AUGGACGACGUACAGGCUCUCUUGGAGCAGCUGCAGCAGCUAAAAGCAGCAAAUGAACAGUUGAGAGACCAAUUACAGGAACGUUCUCCUGUGAGUGGUCCAGUGCCAGAUCCAGUGCCGGGUCCAUCUACUGUGCCAUCAAAUAUGAACCCAAUAAAUGAAACUACAAAUGUCUGUUACGUUUAUGCACCUCGGGAGCGUAAAUGCCCAAGGUUUACUGGUAAAUUGUCAGUGGACUUGUUAACUGUUGACCAGUGGGUUGAAGAAGUACGUAGAUGCCUGGAGAUUCGUCCUAUGUCAAGAGCAGCACAAGUGAUGUUUGUGAUGGACCAUCUUGAUGGCAGUGCUAAAUCUGAGGUCUGUUUUCAUUUGAGUACCAGUAGAGAUACUCCUGACAAGAUUUUUGACAUUUUAGUUGAGAACUAUAGCUGUACUCAGUCGUAUGUAGCUGCCCAGCUACAGUUCUUCCAGCGCACCCAGCGAGAAGGGGAAUCUCUGCGAGAUUACUCUCAUGCCCUUAAAUCUUUAAUGGACACUGUAAUCUGUAAGACACCAGGUGGUAUUCCAAAUUCUGAUAUAUUGCUACGGGACCAGUUUACUGAACAUGUCCAUGAUGAUAUGCUGCGCAGAGAGUUGAAACAGCGGGUCCUUCAAACACCAGACAUGUCCUUUCUUGCCCUACGCAGUAUUGCCCUUAAGUGGGCUGAUGUAGGUAGGCAGGGAGGGAAAACUAGGUCCCGAGCCUAUUCUUGUGAUACGAACUGUCAGGUAGUAGGAGUUAAUGCAGAGAUGCAUGCAGUCACCGCUAGGCCUAAUGAUGACAUUCUACAGAUAAAAGACUGCCUUCGUAAACAACAGGUUCAGUUGGAUAUGCUCAUGAAGCAAAUGUCUGUCCAUUUUUCACAGCCCUCUCAGACUGGACUAGCCCCGACCCCUCCCACAACUAGGCCUUUUCGUUUCCAGGCAGAUGGAAAGCCAAUUUGCCAUCGGUGUGGUAGGGCUGGUCAUAUUGCCAGAUUCUGUAGGGUAAAACAUCCACCUAUAAAGAAUAGUGGUGGGUCUCCUGCUGAUGCACAUGUACAAAGUCAGGUUGUGGAACAAGGCCCUGAGUCUCAGCCAUCGGGAAACUAG